UUACUGACUUGUAUUUGUUGUCUUUCAACAUUUGCAGAGCAUGCAGACGAAUUCCAGUUCUAGUGACGACGUACCCCUUUCAACAACCCAAUCAUUGAGAUUUUCUCCAGCUUAGGAAAUGAAGCGCACCUCGUUGGACAUUUUUUCUUGAUUCUUGGCUUGUCUUUUAGUGUUGUUUUAUUUUUUUGCCAUUCUCUUACUUGCUUCUCAUUGAUAUAGAAUUCACGAGCAGCGGCACAAUUAUUAUUUGCUUCUGCAUAUUCAACAACUUUAAGUUUGAACACUGCUUGAUAAGCAGACCGUUUUCUUUUGAUUUCACCGUUCAUUAUAAAUACUAGUAUGAAAAAAAUAAUAAUUUAGUUAUAGAUUUUGUAGGACUUUAUAUAGGAAUGUCACCUGCUUUAUCACUGUCAAAUUAUUAUUGUUCUUUGUUUAUUUCAAAGCAGCCCUGUAGAUUGGCAUGUCUGUGGCAAUAACAGAACAAGAAAUGCUGUGAAAGAUUGCCUGUUUCUCUGCAUCUCACCAAGCUCACAAUGUGCUACUUUGAAUUCUGUGAAUCUCUUUCAUUUUGUUCCUGCUGGUCUGGAAAAAAUGUUAAGGACCCUCAAAGCAUCCAGGAUUUGAAUGUCAGCUAUUGAACUGUCCUGUAGGCCUAACAAUUCAGUGUAAUAUUAUUCCUGAGGAGGUGACAGAAUCUCACUUUCAGGUGUCACUCUAAAACAUAAAGGAUUUCCAGUAUGUAUAGACUUGAAAUUGUACUCUGCAAUCAUGAGAAAACAGAUACACCUCUACCUCGAUAUAACGCUGUCCUCGGGAGCCAAAAAAAUCUUACCGCAUUAUAGGUGAAACCGCGUUAUAUUGAACUUGCUUUGAUCCACCGGAGUGCGCAGCACCGCCCCCCCGGAGCACUGCUUUACUGUGUUAUAUCUGAAUUCGUGUUAUAUCGGGUCGUGUUAUAUCGGGGUAGAGGUGUAAAGGUGCCAGAGGAGAUCUGCUACCACUUCAACUGUUUAAUUUCCCCAAGAUGCAAACCCAGUGUAACAAGUGAAACAUGGUAACAUGAUUUUUUUUUAAGUAAUGGCAGUAAAUACAUGAUUGCAAUGUUUGCCUGAAGUUUUGUUACUGUUGUCAUUAUGGUAUGUUUCCAGAUACCAAGAGAAAAUAAAUAUUAAUCCUUCUCCCA
rnacentral:lncRNA from 1 species